rnacentral:rRNA from 1 species
UAAACUAGGAUUAGAUACCCUAUUAUUAUAAAUAUAAAUUUAAAAUACUAAAUUAGUAUUAGUUAUUUUCUUGAAAAUUAAAAAAUUUGGCGGUAUUUUAGUCUUUUCAGAGGAACCUGUCCUGUAAUUGAUAGCCCACGAUUAUAUAUACUUUAGUUUUAAGUUUACAUAUCGUUGUAGGUUGAAUAUUUUAAUAGAAUUUAAAUGUUCAGAAUUUUUUAUUAAAAAAUAAAUCAGAUCAAGGUGUAGCUUAUAUUUAAGAAGUGGUGGGUUACAUUGAAAUUAUUUAGGAUAAUUUUUUUUAAAAGAAAUUUGAAUGUGGAUUUGAUAGUAAUUUAAUAUAUUUAUUUUAAAUGAUUAUAGCUCUAAAAUAUGUACACAUCGCCCGUCGCUCUUAA